AGCGCAUGCGUCCAGAUUUCUCUAUGAAUGUCGGGAGAUUUCUGCAAUGGCAAUGGCGGUUGUAUUUUCGUUUGCGGCAAUCGGAAGAAAUUGUGGAUAUUAUUAUGGUUUCACCAACAAAGCGAUUGAAUUUCCUGAAACAUGUUACUCAAUACUGAUUUGUUUGCUAUUUUUGAUUAAAAUUUUGGAUUUCAUUCAUCUUCGUUGGUUCUUUUGGCCAUCCACUUGUCUUUAACAGGAUUUCAGAAACAUUUCUUACAAGUUCAAUGAAAACAACUCUCCAGUAGACGAAGACAAUACGACAUCAUGGGUUUGAAGUAUGCAUUAAUUAUCCUACAUUUAAUACGAAUUAUAUUUUUAAAAAUUUCUUUCAAGCAAAA